ensembl:lncRNA ITGA9-AS1 ITGA9 antisense RNA 1
GAAGCAUGAGGUUACAUCUGUAAUCUCCCUGCAGCAGAGUCAACUGCAUAAGAAACCAAAAGACACACCUGCUCCAUGCCAGCCUAAGCCACCACAUAAAAAGUCAGACCAUCUGCUGGAAGAACCACAUGGAGAGGCCCUGAGUCAACAUGGAGAGGAAGAAGGACUUGACUGAAUCCAGCCUUCCAGCUGUCCCUACCAAGGUGCCAGGCAUGAGAAUGAAGCUGUCUUGAACUCUGAAGACCAGCUUAGCCACCAGAGGCUGUCUCAGCAGGAAGGAGUUGGAGUUGGAGAAAAAGGAGAAUUAAGAAUCUAUCUGGCGAUGUGGAUUAAAUAAACAACAAAUUGGCAGAUUGUUUUUAAAAGGUCUGUUCUGAAAAAUUGAGAAGAUGAUCUAUCUUCACUUCAAAAAGAAAUCUCUAAGGAGCAAGUGGACACAGCCUGCCUCCCAUAAGCUGUCUGGCUCACUCAUUUUAUUCCUGGAAAUCAGCAUUUCUCCAUUUUCUGUCUUCAGAAGUCAAUCAUUUCCUGAGAAAUGAGGAAAAAGAUGGAGGUCACAGAGACCAGUAAGAGCAAGGAGGGAGAGGAAAAAGCUGAACAUGAAACUCGAGGAAGAAACAGAAUAUGCAGAGGAAUAAAAAAAGUGAGUAGAUCUCUAGAGACAGAAAGUAGAUUAGCGGUUGCCUAGGGCUGGGGAGCAGGAAGAAUAGGGAGUAGGACAGGCAGCAUGACAGGCCCCCCAAAGAUGUCCAUGUCCUCAUCUGUGGAACCUGUGAAUGUUAUGUGGCCAGGGGGAAUUAAGGUUGCUAAUCAAGCGACCUCAAAAUAAAGAGGGUAUCUUGAAUUAUCCAGGUGAGCACAUUGUACUCACAAGAGUCCUUAUAUAGGGAAGAGGCAGAAGUCAGAUCAGAAAGAGAACAUCCUAAGACUUGACCAGCCAUUGCUGGCUUUGAAGAUGGAAGGGGGCCAUGAGCCAAAGAAUGCAGGCAGCCCUUAGAGGCUGGCAAAGGCAAGAAGUGGAUUUUCCCCUGGUGCCUCUGGCAAGAACACAGGCCCUGAUACUUUGGUUUUAGCCCAGCGGGGCCCAUUUUGGACUUCUGUUCUUCAGAACUGUAAGAUAACAAAUUUGUGUUGUUUUAAGCCACAAAUGUUGUAGUAAUUUGUUACAGCAGCAAUAAGAAAUUAAUACAAGAAGCUAUGUCAAUGGGUUAAGGAUUUUUCUUUUUUCUUUUUUUUUUUAAACAGUCCAGAGGUCUUUCAUUUUUUAGACACCUAUUAUGCCAUGAAUUCAUAGGGAACAGGUUCCAGCAGCUCAGGCUCCUUCCCAUUGGUUCUCACAAAGUGUGCUUCUCUGGGUGGUGCAGGCUGGUGCUUCAGUUGGACCCAGGUAUCUUU